rnacentral:rRNA from 1 species
GAUGAACGCUGGCGGCGUGCCUAAUACAUGCAAGUCGAGCGAACAGACGAGGAGCUUGCUCCUCUGACGUUAGCGGCGGACGGGUGAGUAACACGUGGAUAACCUACCUAUAAGACUGGGAUAACUUCGGGAAACCGGAGCUAAUACCGGAUAAUAUUUUGAACCGCAUGGUUCAAUAGUGAAAGACGGUUUUGCUGUCACUUAUAGAUGGAUCCGCGCUGCAUUAGCUAGUUGGUAAGGUAACGGCUUACCAAGGCAACGAUGCAUAGCCGACCUGAGAGGGUGAUCGGCCACACUGGAACUGAGACACGGUCCAGACUCCUACGGGAGGCAGCAGUAGGGAAUCUUCCGCAAUGGGCGAAAGCCUGACGGAGCAACGCCGCGUGAGUGAUGAAGGUCUUCGGAUCGUAAAACUCUGUUAUUAGGGAAGAACAAAUGUGUAAGUAACUGUGCACGUCUUGACGGUACCUAAUCAGAAAGCCACGGCUAACUACGUG